rnacentral:rRNA from 1 species
AGACCCGAAACCCGGUGAUCUAGCCAUGGGCAGGUUGAAGGUUGGGUAACACUAACUGGAGGACCGAACCGACUAAUGUUGAAAAAUUAGCGGAUGACCUGUGGCUGGGGGUGAAAGGCCAAUCAAACCGGGAGAUAGCUGGUUCUCCCCGAAAGCUAUUUAGGUAGCGCCUCGUGAAUUCAUCUCCGGGGGUAGAGCACUGUUUCGGCUAGGGGGUCAUCCCGACUUACCAACCCGAUGCAAACUGCGAAUACCGGAGAAUGUUAUCACGGGAGACACACGGCGGGUGCUAACGUCCGUCGUGAAGAGGGAAACAACCCAGACCGCCAGCUAAGGUCCCAAAGUCAUGGUUAAGUGGGAAACGAUGUGGGAAGGCCCAGACAGCCAGGAUGUUGGCUUAGAAGCAGCCAUCAUUUAAAGAAAGCGUAAUAGCUCACUGGUCGAGUCGGCCUGCGCGGAAGAUGUAACGGGGCUAAACCAUGCACCGAAGCUGCGGCAGCGACACUGUGUGUUGUUGGGUAGGGGAGCGUUCUGUAAGCCUGUGAAGGUGGCCUGUGAGGGUUGCUGGAGGUAUCAGAAGUGCGAAUGCUGACAUAAGUAACGAUAAAGCGGGUGAAAAGCCCGCUCGCCGGAAGACCAAGGGUUCCUGUCCAACGUUAAUCGGGGCAGGGUGAGUCGACCCCUAAGGCGAGGCCGAAAGGCGUAGUCGAUGGGAAACGGGUUAAUAUUCCCGUACUUGGUGUUACUGCGAAGGGGGGACGGAGAAGGCUAUGUUGGCCGGGCGACGGUUGUCCCGGUUUAAGCGUGUAGGUGUGUGUUCCAGGUAAAUCCGGUUCACUUUAACACUGAGGCGUGAUGACGAGGCACUACGGUGCUGAAGCAACAAAUGCCCUGCUUCCAGGAAAAGCCUCUAAGCAUCAGGUAACAUCAAAUCGUACCCCAAACCGACACAGGUGGUCAGGUAGAGAAUACCAAGGCGCUUGAGAGAACUCGGGUGAAGGAACUAGGCAAAAUGGUGCCGUAACUUCGGGAGAAGGCACGCUGACAC